UAUAAGGGACUUGAACAUUCCAGAAUUUUGGUGUUCAGCGGGUGUUGGAACCAAUCUCCCAUGGCUGUCGAAGAAUUACAUUAUGCAUACAUGUUAGAAUGUUUAAAUCAAACUGGUUAACCACUUUUCUAAGAAAAACUUUUAGGGCUCAAUCUUACAGCUUAUUUUUUCAACACAGGGAGAUCUAACUUGGGCUCAAUAUGUGAAGUUCAUCCUUCUUGCCUUGAUAAUUCAUUUGGAAGUAAGACUGUGGAAGCCACUUUACCGCUCCACGGAGAAUGGGGGUCUCCUCACACUAUCCACCUAGAUCCUGAAACUGGAGGGACCUGCACUACAUCGUAGUCUGUUUGUUCUGCUUAUCCGGGUGAAGAUGGAACUGGACACAAGAAUACCUAGGGGUGGACCACUUGGUGCCACACUUCUUCUGCUGUGUCUCCAUCAUGUAGCAAUGGCUGUGACUCAUCCUGAUGAUUGGGAUCAAUUACACCUGCAACAGUGCCCUUUUUUGUUUCUUCAUCCGCUGGUCUACAGACUUGCAGAGCCCAGGAUGAACUAAUAGCAACCAUGGCUUUACAUUUAGUGAGAAUUAGGUGGAACACAGGCCUUCAAGAAGAGUCUUCCCACAAAGAAGAAGAACAUCUAGACACACAGAGCCUAAAUAUUCAUGCAGAACUUCACCAGCACAAACACCCUGCUGGAAUUGGUGACAGUUGGCUGGUGUUCUAACCCCGAUUUAGAACUGCUUACUCAACUGAACGACAAUGUGCAUGUCAGCUGCCUCGAGGAAAUGGUACUGCUGAGCUACAAGAAGAACAUCGUGUUAAGCUUAGUGUAUUCCAACUGCAGGUUUGUUGAUUAUGAAGUUCAUUUCACAUGUCAAUAACAAUAUCUAGUGUAAAGAAGUCGACUAGAAAUUAAUAGAAAAAUAUCACAUGGCUCCCUACAUUGCUAGACUAUUGUUGAAUGAUAUUUUGUCUCAGUUUUCUGAAUGUGUGUGUCUGUUUAUAUGUAUACCACAUUACAACCCCAAAUGUAUUUCUUGUAUUUCAGUCAAAGGUUUUGAAAACCGAUACUCGAGAUUUCUCAAGCUGAUUUUCUCCCUAACUAUUGGUAUUUGAUCAUUUUUUCUCUGACAAUAAAAAAAGGUCUGAGAGGAAUUUUAAUAAAAAGGAAGAAAGGACAUUGAAACUUAUGUCGGGGAACCUUGAUCUUCUUACCAAAGUGAAAAGCAAUUUGAGAUUUUUAAAAAUAUAUAGGCUAUAACUUUCCUUCUGAAGUCUAUUUCCACUGCAUCCCAAAGUUGUGGUAGGUUGUAUUUUUGUUUUCUUUCAUCUCUAAGUAUUUGAUCAUUUCCCUUGUGAUGUUUUUUUCUUAAACAAAUGAUUAUUUAAGAAAGUGUUGUUUAAUAGUCACAUAUUUGUGAACUUUAUAGUUUUCUUUUUGUGUUCCUUUUUAGUUUUAUUCCAUUGCAGUUGAAUAACACACUUUGAUUUUAAAAUUUUUGUGUUUAUCAAAACUUGUUUUGUGGCCUAACACGUGUUCUACCCUGAAGAACA
ensembl:lincRNA